rnacentral:rRNA from 1 species
UGCGUAGGCGGGUCUUUAAGUCAGGGGUGAAAUCCUGGAGCUCAACUCCAGAACUGCCUUUGAUACUGAAGAUCUUGAGUUCGGGAGAGGUGAGUGGAACUGCGAGUGUAGAGGUGAAAUUCGUAGAUAUUCGCAAGAACACCAGUGGCGAAGGCGGCUCACUGGCCCGGACUACUGACGCUGAGGCACGAAAGCGUGGGGAGCAAACA